rnacentral:rRNA from 2 species
UGGGGAAUAUUGCACAAUGGAGGAAACUCUGAUGCAGCGACGCCGCGUGAGCGAUGAAGGUUUUCGAAUCGUAAAGCUCUGUCCUAAGGGACGAUAAUGACGGUACCUUAGGAGGAAGCCCCGGCUAACUACGUGCCAGCAGCCGCGGUAAUACGUAGGGGGCGAGCGUUGUCCGGAUUUAUUGGGCGUAAAGGGUGCGUAGGCGGCCUUGUAAGUCAGAUGUGAAAUCUCACGGCUUAACCGUGGUAAGCAUUUGAAACUGUGAGGCUUGAGUACAGGAGAGGAGAGUGGAAUUCCUAGUGUAGCGGUGAAAUGCGUAGAUAUUAGGAGGAAUACCAGUGGCGAAGGCGACUCUCUGGACUGUAACUGACGCUGAGGCACGAAAGCGUGGGGAGCAAACAGG